rnacentral:tRNA from 1 species
GCCGAAGUGGUGGAACUGGCAGACGCGCGCGACUCAAAAUCGCGUGGGGUAGCCCCCCGUGAGGGUUCGAGUCCCUCCUUCGGCACCA